UACGUAGGGGGCAAGCGUUGUCCGGAAUCAUUGGGCGUAAAUCGCGUGUAGGCGGUCCGGUAAGUCCGCUGUGAAAGUCGGGGGCUCAACCCUCAGAUGCCGGUGGAUACUGUCGGGCUUGAGUACGGAAGAGGCGAGUGGAAUUCCUGGUGUAGCGGUGAAAUGCGCAGAUAUCAGGAGGAACACCAAUUGCGAAGGCAGCUCGCUGGGACGUUACUGACGCUGAGACGCGAAAGCGUGGGGAGCAAACAGG
rnacentral:rRNA from 1 species